rnacentral:rRNA from 1 species
UACGAAGGGGGCUAGCGUUGCUCGGAAUCACUGGGCGUAAAGGGUGCGUAGGCGGGUUUUUAAGUCAGGGGUGAAAUCCUGGAGCUCAACUCCAGAACUGCCUUUGAUACUGAAGAUCUUGAGUCCGGGAGAGGUGAGUGGAACUGCGAGUGUAGAGGUGAAAUUCGUAGAUAUUCGCAAGAACACCAGUGGCGAAGGCGGCUCACUGGCCCAGUACUGACGCUGAGGCACGAAAGCGUGGGGAGCAAACAGG